UCCCGGUUGGCCCGGGCAGUCUUGCCUGAAAAAUACAACAGACAACAAGGGUUGCGCUCGUUGCGGGACUUAACCCAACAUCUCACGACACGAGCUGACGACGGCCAUGCAGCACCUGUCACUAAGCUCCGGUAAAGGCACCCUCUUGUUUCCAAGAGGUUCUUAGGAUGUCAAGCCUCGGUAAGGUUCUUCGCGUAGCUUCGAAUUAAACCACAUGAUCCACUGCUUGUGCGGGUCCCCGUCAAUUCCUUUGAGUUUUAAUCUUGCGAUCGUACUCCCCAGGCGGCAUACUUAACGCGUUAGCUUCUCAGCACAGGGGGUCGAUACCCCAUACUAAUAGUAUGCAUCGUUUACGGCGUGGACUAC
rnacentral:misc_RNA from 1 species